CAGUCGCCGCGGUAAAACGGAUGGUGCAAGCGUUAAUCGGAAUUACUGGGCGUUAAGCGCACGCAGGCGGUUUGUUAAGUCAGAUGUGAAAUCCCCGAGCUUAACUUGGGAACUGCAUUUGAAACUGGCAAGCUAGAGUCUUGUAGAGGGGGGUAGAAUUCCAGGUGUAGCGGUGAAAUGCGUAGAGAUCUGGAGGAAUACCGGUGGCGAAGGCGGCCCCCUGGACAAAGACUGACGCUCAGGUGCGAAAGCGUGGGGAGCAAACAGGAUUAGAUACCCGCGUAGUCCCUGUCUCUUAUAA
rnacentral:rRNA from 1 species